GGAUUAGAUACCCGGGUAGUCCACGCUGUAAACGAUGGAUGCUAGUUGUUGGGGGGUUCCCUCUCAGUGACGAAGCUAACGCAUUAAGCAUCCCGCCUGGGGAGUACGGUCGCAAGAUUAAAACUCAAAGAAAUUGACGGGGACCCGCACAAGCGGUGGAGCAUGUGGUUUAAUUCGAGGCAACGCGAAGAACCUUACCAGGCCUUGACAUGUCCAGUUUGAUCGCCAGAGAUGGCUUUCUUCACUUCGGGUGGCUGGAACACAGGUGCUGCAUGGCUGUCGUCAGCUCGUGUCGUGAGAUGUUGGGUUAAGUCCCGCAACGAGCGCAACCCUCGUCCUUAGUUGCCAUCAUUAAGUUGGGAACUCUAAGGAAACUGCCUAUGAUAAGUAGGAG
rnacentral:rRNA from 1 species